UACGGAGGGUGCAAGCGUUACCCGGAAUCACUGGGCGUAAAGGGCGUGUAGGCGGAUCACUCAGUCUGGUUUUAAAGACCGGGGCUCAACCCCGGGCAUGGACUGGAUACUGGUGAUCUUGACCUCUGGAGAGGGUAGCUGGAAUUCCUGGUGUAGCGGUGGAAUGCGUAGAUACCAGGAGGAACACCAAUGGCGAAGGCAGCUCGCUGGAACGGUACUGACGCUGAG
rnacentral:rRNA from 1 species